rnacentral:rRNA from 1 species
AUACGGAGGGUGUAAGCGUUACUCGGAAUCACUGGGCGUAAAGCCCGCGCAGGCGGUCUUUUAAGUUGGAUGUGAAAGCCUACGGCUCAACCGUAGAACUGCAUCCAAAACUAUUAGACUAGAGUGUGGGAGAGGAAGUUGGAAUUAGUUGUGUAGGGGUAAAAUCCGUAGAGAUAACUAGGAAUACCAAAAGCGAAGGCAAUCUUCUGGAACACUACUGACGCUGAGGCGCGAAAGCGUGGGGAGCAAACGGGAUUAGAAACCCCAGUAGUCC